rnacentral:rRNA from 1 species
AUUGAACGCUGGCGGCAGGCCUAACACAUGCAAGUCGAGCGAGCGGCGGACGGGUGAGUAAUGUAUGGGGACUGCCCGCUAGAGGGGGAUAACUACUGGAAACGGUGGCUACUACCGCAUACUAUCGGAUAACCCAUAUGGGAUUAGCUAGUAGGUGGGGUAACGGCUCACCUAGGCGACGAUCUCUAGCUGGUCUGAGAGGAUGAUCAGCCACAAUGGGACAGAGAAACGGCCGAGACUCCUACGGAGGCAGCAAGGGGGAAUAUUGAACACUGGGCGCAAGCCUGAUGAAGCCAUGCCGCGUGUAUGAAGAAGGCCUUAGGGUUGUAAAGUACUUUCAGCGGGGAGGCGUUACCCGCAGAAGAAGCACCGGCUAACUCCGUGCCAGCAGCCGCGGUAAUUC